CUAAGUUGCCCAGGCUGGCGUCAAGUACUGGGGAUCGAACUCUGGUCCUUGUGCUUUCAAGGCAGGCAGUGGAACCACUGAGCUAAAUCCCCGGCCCUAGCCUCAAGCUUUUGAUCUUCCUGCCCCAGCCUCCCAAGCAGCUGGGGUUACAGGCCUGUGCCACCAUCCAUGGCCUUGGUGGCCUCUUCUGAUCCUUCUCUUUGCUGGGAAAGAGGGGUCCUUGGCUAGUGGCGGGUGGGUCAGACAGUUGAUUUGAGUAUCGGACCAUGUGGGUAGACCUCAGACUCGAGGUGGAUUGAAGGGAAAAGCAGGUUUCAGGGUGGAGACCUGUAGGGCAGGAAGGAGGAGCUGUCAGGUUCCCAGGCAGAGCUGUGACAUGGGUGUGACUCAGCCCACCGUGCUGGCCUCACUGGGAGGUCGCCAAGUGGGUGUGGUGGCCUUUGCUGGGGAGGCAUAGCCUGAUGUUGCUCCAGCUCCAGUCCCCUCGUGCACACAGACCUUGCCUGAGACCUGGAUGGGCAGGCUGAGCUGUCUCUGAUGCCCCAACCCUGGCCCAGGGUUGGGGAGGGCUCUCCCCUCCCUCUCCUCCCCAGUUCCUGUGUGCCCUGGCAUCCUAUGCUGCCACUGGCUCUGAUUGACAACCUCCGGGUGACCCCAGGAACCCUCCAGAUCACUUGGCAUCCCUUGCAGAGGCCUGGUGGCCUUGUACACAUCGCAUAGACCCAGAGCUGGUGCCAGAUCCAUCGACUGGCAUAGCUGAUUCAUCAUGCACUUUUUUUACCUUGGGACAUGGGGAGAUAAAUGUUGAGACGAUUCCUGGUUCAGCAGUGGGCCCUGAAAUAUUAGGAACUGCAGAGGGCGCAUACUCAGGACUGGAAGUGGCUGUGGGUUGAGGCAUUGCCCUGUUAACAGCCCUCUGUUGGGUUGGAGCUGGCAGGUCGGGGGAGAGGGGAGGCCUCCCUGCCUGGCCCUGCUUCCCUGAGGCUCUGGAUGCAGGUCUGGGCCAGCAGGAGCAGUGACAGUGGCUCGAGGGGUGGGUGUCUUGUAUUACAGAGGAAACCAGGCCAUGGUCUUCCUGCUUCAAAGCUGGAAACCUGUUCUCUGGCUCACGUGUGCUUGACUCUCUUGGAGCAUGGCCACCCAGCUGAGGCGCAGCCCUGGCCAGGGCCCAAGACUUUCAGUUGCCAGAUGCCUGACUUUCACUCCUCUGCAGGCUGGGGCCCGGGGAUGGUGUCGUUGCACCUGGGCGUGUGACAGAUCCAUGACAUCAGCUUGAUUUGGCAUACAUUGCUGCACUCCAGGGGUGAGCACCUAGGAGACCACCCUCAAGCCCUGAGUCAUCUCAGCCCAGCUCCGGGCCUGGGUGAUCUGUCUCGACCAGAGGGGUGGCCAUGGCUCUUCUCACAGAGACCUGCAGCGCUGUUUCCUGACCCUGUUCCUCAGAAGCAGGCCUGGGAAUGCAGGAGAGUGAAUCCCAGAGGAUUGGUGUAGGGAGGAUGGUAAUCUCCCUCACUUGGGAUGGGGGAUGGCACGUCCCUUCUGUGUAGGAGGAGGGGGCAGGCAGGUACUUUCUGCAUGGAAAGAGUCAUGACAUCCUGUGUUGUGACCUUUGCAACUGGACACCUGGCCUAGAGCCUGAAAUUGCCAUCUGCCCAGGGGCCAGGCAUGGUCCACAUUGUAGAUGGGGAACUACAGUUUUGGCCAGUGAAGUCACUUGGCUAAAAUCUCCCCAGCUCCUGGGAGUGGAGCUGGCAGCAGGAUCCUCCCUGCUUCCUCUCUGAGCUGCACGGGGUGGGAACAGUGAGCUCACCCAGCCUCCUGGGUAAUCAGUGAGGAAGUGCAGCCAUCUCCACUCCAGCCUGUGAGUCCUCCUGACUCUCGGUGGUCCCCACACGGGGAGCACUGUGACCUCUAUCCCACUUGGCUGAGGAGAGCGUGUCUUCCCUGGCAGCCUGCUGCAGCCUGGGCAGUUUGGGGCCAGGCCGCCUGGUAAGGUGUCAGAGCAGAAAGACCCAGAAGCAUGGCCUGGCCGCUGCUUCCGGCCUGGCCCGAGGCCACCGAGACGUCUGGAGCAAGCCAGAUGCAGGUCUGCCUGAUCACAGAGCCUGCCGUCAUCUGUCCCGGAGUCAGCCUCACUGCUGCCCCUCUGCCUGCUUCCUCUUGGCUGCUUGCUUGGUUGUUCAGUGUAGUAAUCAGAAUGCUGAUUACUUUAGAAACUCUGAAAAUUACAGAAAAAAAGUUAAAACAUU